rnacentral:rRNA from 1 species
AGCAGUCGCCGCGGUAAUACGUAGGUGGCAAGCGUUGUCCGGAAUUAUUGGGCGUAAAGGGCUCGCAGGCGGUUUCUUAAGUCUGAUGUGAAAGCCCCCGGCUCAACCGUGGAACUGCCUCUAAUACUGUGUUGCUUGAGGGAGAACGGGGCAUUCGGAACUUCCGGUGGAGCGGUGAAAUGUGUUGAUAUCGGAAGGAACGCCGGUGGCGAAAGCGGAAUGCUGGGUCUCUUCUGACGCUGAGGUGCGAAAGCUAGGGUAGCGAACGGGAUUAGAUACCCCCGUAGUCCCUGUCUCUUAUCC